rnacentral:rRNA from 1 species
UACGUAGGGUGCGAGCGUUGUCCGGAAUUAUUGGGCGUAAAGAGCUUGUAGGCGGUUUGUCGCGUCUGCUGUGAAAACUGGAGGCUCAACCUCCAGCCUGCAGUGGGUACGGGCAGACUAGAGUGCGGUAGGGGAGAUUGGAAUUCCUGGUGUAGCGGUGGAAUGCGCAGAUAUCAGGAGGAACACCGAUGGCGAAGGCAGAUCUCUGGGCCGUAACUGGACGCUGAGGAGCGAAAAGCAUGGGGAGCGAACAGG